rnacentral:rRNA from 1 species
UAGUCUGGUGCCAGCAGCCGCGGUAAUACGUAGGGGGCGAGCGUUGUCCGGAUUUAUUGGGCGUAAAGAGCUCGUAGGCGGUUCAACAAGUCGGUCGUAAAAGUUCAGGGCUCAACCCUGAAAUGUCGAUCGAUACUGUUGUGACUAGGAUACGGUAGAGGUGAGUGGAAUUCCGAGUGUAGCGGUGAAAUGCGUAGAUAUUCGGAGGAACACCAAUUGCGAAGGCAGCUCACUGGGCCGCUAUCGACGCUGAGGAGCGAAAGCUAGGGGAGCAAACAGGAUUAGAUACCCUGGUAGUCCUAGCUGUAAACGAUGGAUACUAGACGUAGGAACUGGAUUGACGGUUUCUGUGUCGUAGCUAACGCGUUAAGUAUCCCGCCUGGGGAGUACGGUCGCAAGACUAAAACUCAAAGGAAUUGACGGGACCCCGCACAAGCGGCGGAGCAUGCGGCUUAAUUCGAUGAUACCCGUAGAACCUUACCUGGACUUGACAUGCAAGGGUCUAGCUAUAGAGAUAUAGUGUGCAUUAGCGCCCUUCACAGGUGGUGCAUGGCCGUUCUU